UACUGGAGGGGUGGAGGUGGCUCUCGUAGAAGAUUGAGUCAUGUGCAAAGACUUGGAGGGUGAACAUUCUGCUAUGUUGUACCAUUAUUUUACGAUAAUUGACUACAUAAAAUCCACUAUGGAGCGUCCGUAAUCUUUAGUGUAUAUGUAUUUAUAUUGUCUUGUUCCAAAAUUUUCCUUUUUGUCGACCUAGUAAAUGUUAUGAAUGUUGAUUGGUGUAAUUUUCAUGUGAAAUAUUUUUAUCUUUAUGAAGGUUGAUUGGUCUAAAUUACCAAUAUUGAUUAAGUUCUUUAUCUAAUACGAAGACCUAUGUCCAUUUUUCAUGUAAUACGAUGCAUAUGAAUUGGCAAUGGAUGUAUAACACGAACAGAUGGACCAAGGAGUUUGUUGAUGGCUUGCAUUAUUUU
rnacentral:lncRNA from 1 species